UAGGGAAUCUUCGGCAAUGGGGGGAACCCUGACCGAGCAACGCCGCGUGAGUGAAGAAGGUUUUCGGAUCGUAAAGCUCUGUUGUUAAGGAAGAACGAGUGUGAGAAUGGAAAGUUCAUGCUGUGACGGUGCUUAACCAGAAAGGGACGGCUAACUACGUGCCAGCAGCCGCGGUAAUACGUAGGUCCCGAGCGUUGUCCGGAUUUAUUGGGCGUAAAGCGAGCGCAGGCGGUCAAUUAAGUCUGAUGUGAAAGCCCCCGGCUCAACCGGGGAGGGUCAUUGGAAACUGGUUGACUUGAGUGCAGAAGAGGAGAGUGGAAUUCCAUGUGUAGCGGUGAAAUGCGUAGAUAUAUGGAGGAACACCAGUGGCGAAGGCGACUCUCUGGUCUGUAACUGACGCUGAGGCUCGAAAGCGUGGGUAGCAAACAGG
rnacentral:rRNA from 1 species